CUCUCUCUCUCUCUCUCUCUCUCUCUCUCUCUCUCUCUCUGCUUCUGUCUCUCACUUCUCCCCACUUCUCUGCUUCCCCUCUGUUUUCGCUCUUUCUCUCUCUCUGUCUCUCUCUCUGUUCUUCCCCCUUCUCCCCUUCCCUUCCAUAGCCCACUAAAUAAAUAUCCAACUUCACUUUGCAUGGCAUGCCUAACCAUUUUGGCCUCUCACCUGCCCUGUGGCUUCCUGCCUGGGACCCAGCUGCCUUUGUGGCCUGCCAUGGUCUUGGCUACUGCCUACCACUGCCCACUGCCACCACUUAAGGACCUGCAGCAUUUCUGCCUCUGCACCCCUUGGGGGUCCACAGCAUUUUACUUAAACCAUUACAACUACCACAGUUUGAGUCAAAUUCAAAGCAAGCUUGAUUUUUUAGGGGCUGCACCCAAGAGCUGGCCAGCAACUGCCUCCUAAGUCGGGUUAAAGAGAGAAGUUCUGAAUCCACGUCUUGGGCCCUUUUAAAUCAUGAAUAGUUUUACAGAAAGGAAAAAAUGGGCAAUAAAAAAAUACUAAAAAAAAAAGCCAUGUGAUCACCAACCAUGUGAUUAGAAAGGUCAGGAAGGGUCAAGGUAGUCUCAGAAACAAAUUAAGGUCAUGACUUGGGAAAGGUCAGGUUUCAGGAAACAGAGCUAGCUACUCAACUCUCACAGUAAAUAGAAACUUAUUUUUAAAAAUACAACAUAAUGAGUCCUGCCUUUAAAAUGAAGUCAGGUAGGUUUCUCGCUCUCACCACCCAUCUCAAGUUACCUCACCUAAGGAAGCUUGCUCUGACAGUGAAGACUUCUAUCGAAGGAACAUCUGUCAUGCACAGAUGGACAUGCAGUUAGCUUAGAGCCUAGCAGUAUGCUAAUGUAUAACCAGGAGGUAAAUAAUUGUAGGAGUGCAGGCUGUGGCAUCCCACUGGAGCAACCUGUAGUAUUUUGCUGACUCUCCUUCUUCUGAAAAAGGUUAGCCUAAAUCUGCUCUCACAGCCUGUCUGCACCUUGACAAAAUGACUCCCAGGAGCACGUGCGUAUCUAACUGAUGCUCUGUGUCUACUGCUUUACAGAGGCCUAUAACAGACUCCUGCCCUACAUUCUCAUGGGCAGUCUGACCGUCCUGAUUGGAAUCAUCACGCUUUUUUUCCCUGAAAGUUUUGGAGUGGCUCUUCCAGAGAACUUAGACCAGAUGCAGAAAGUGAGGGGGUUCAGAUGUUGGAAAAAACCAGCAGCCUCUGUGGACAGAGAAGAAAACCCCAAGGUUCUGAUCACUGCAUUCUAAUAAAGGGUCCCCCGCACCUGGCAACCUGAGACACAGAUGUGAGAUGACCCGGGGGUGAUGGAACACACCUGUAAUCCCAGCGUGUAGAGGGGGGGGAAGGAGGAUCAGGAAUUCAAGGUCAUCCUUGGCUAUGUCAGGAGUGCCAUUUUUGACCAUAAUAAAGGCUAUAAGAGAAAUA